CGGCUGGGUUUGUUAUUGUCGACUCCGGCUCUUCCACCGCGGAGCACGCCGGGAAACUGCCGGCCGGGGCUGCGCGAGGCGGCGCGGAGAGGCGUCUGCGCAGGUCCGGAAGUCGCUUGGCUGCCGGGAAAGGGGCGGCUCUGUAGUGGCCCUGGGCCUGGCAGGCAGCUGGGUUGCCCUACCCUGACCCCGCAACCAUUUCUAGAGCGGCCUGUUGUGGUGUUUGUCGCCGGCCGGCGCGAGCUUCCCCAAGGCUGGAAGAAAUCAGAAAUGACUGACUCACCUUACACUUCAAUGUAAACGUUUAAGGGUAAGAAUCAAAUCCAGUCCACAUGCCCCAGAUCUUAGCAUUCUGAGGGAGUCAGAAGCCCCUUCUGGAAUUUUUGUAAAGGUAUGGACAUUUUCACUCAAAACCAAUGCACAAAGGUC
rnacentral:lncRNA from 1 species